rnacentral:lncRNA from 1 species
ACAGCAAACAAUGUUAUUUUAAAAAAAUUCUCCGUGUUUUUGAUCUGGUUUUACAUAGCAUCCUGUUUUAAUUUUUAUAGCACAAUAUAAGCAUUUGUCGAUAUUUAACCCGUGAAAUAUAGCAAUUCUCACAUUACGGGGUUAAAACCCCCAGAAAUGUGCCUGGGGAUGGCCGGGAGGUGCCUCUGUCCCCGGGGCUGACACCAGCAGGGCUGUGGUCCAUGGCAGGGCUCCUCUUCAGCUGAUGCAAACCUUGUCUGAAGAAUCGGAGCUCACACGGCUUUAUUUUAUUUUUAACACCGUGACAACCGCACAGCCAGGCUGCUUUAACCUCCUGGCUUUGGGAAUUUAAAUAAACUCAGCGAGGAUGUAAUGAAGACAUGAGACCCUCCCAGGAGUUCUCAAUUCCCAGUUCCCAUUCUCCUCCCCAUUCCCAGUUUUCCAAUCCCAAUUUCUCAUCACAUUUCCUUUUCCCAAUUUUCCAUUCCCAGAUUAGCAUUCCCAGUUUCCCAUUCCCAUUUUUCCAUUCCCAAUUUCUCAUCCUAUUUCCUUUUCCCAAUUUUCCAUUUCCAGUUUCCCAUUCCCAUUUUUCCAUUCCCAGUUUCCCAUUGCCAGGUUCCCAUCCCCAGUUUUCCAUUCCCAAUUUCCCAUCCCCAGUUCCCAUUCCUCUUCCCAGUUUCCCAUUCCCAGUUUCCCAUUCCCAGUUCCCAUUCCUCUUCCCAGUUUCCCAUUCCCAGUUUCCCAUCCCCAGUUCUUGUCCGCAGGUCAGCGGAGAGCAGGGAUAACUCUGGGUCUUAGUGCACGUCCUGAGACAGAAGGAACACGGAUCUUCCUUUUCCUGCCUCAUCCCAAAUCCCAUUUCCCGAGCCCUCCCUGCCCCCCGGCAGCCCAGGAGCAGAGAGCAGCGCCCCAUCCCCGCUUCACACUUAAUUAAUGUUCUCUGAACGACCUUGAGAGAGCCACACCGGAGUAUUGGCUCGUCUAAAUGUGGGAAGAAAAGAGCUCUAAUGAAAGAAUGAUAAAAAUACAGGAUUAAACAGUGUUUGGAGAUCCUUCCAGCUCUUAAAUUGGUAAAAGUUGCUUUAAGUCUUUUUAUGAGUAGCAGGGGGAAAAAAAAAAAAGCGACGUUUCUUUUUUGGUUUUGAUCAGGUUUUACAUAAAGUUGUGUUCCAGAUUUUAUAGCAAAACAUAAGCAUUUGUCUAUAUUUAGCUUUUAAAACAGCAUAAUUAACGUAUUAUUUUGCUGAACCCCUCAGAAAUGUGCCUGAACACAUUGCUGUAGUUCUUCACUGUGUUACCUAUUCAGAAACACAUUGCAGUUUACUGUGUAUGUUUUCUUUAAAAACAAAAUUUGAAUUAUGUAAGUCGAAAAUACAACAGAAAUAAGAUCCCGAGGCCUAUUUUUAUUUCAUAGGCUGAACAAAACCAAACCCAAAUCAUACCUGGAAGGUGAUGCUUGCAUAUACACAAAGUGUAAUUUGCAGCAGUGUGGAAUUUGUUUAAAUAAUUUUCCUUUCUGAUGCAUUGAACAUGAAUGGUCUGACAGUAGGACACCUUUUCCUGUUGGAAACACUGGAUUUUUCAAGUGAAUGCUUCCUAAGGAAAUCUUUAAUUUACCAAUAUGAAGCAUUGGAGGUUAUUUCCACAUCUAGUUUUUCACCAGAUUUAAUGGGGGUGUCUGCAAGCCUAUGGAAAAUUGCCAGGAUUUUUUUUGAUACCAAGAGGGAUCAAUAAAAAAAUAGGAUCAGCAUAGAAAAGGUGCA